rnacentral:rRNA from 1 species
AUUGAACGCUGGCGGCAUGCCUUACACAUGCAAGUCGAACGGUAACGGGCCUUCGGGUGCCGACGAGUGGCGAACGGGUGAGUAAUGCAUCGGAACGUACCUUUCAGUGGGGGAUAACGUAGCGAAAGUUACGCUAAUACCGCAUACUCUGUGAGCAGGAAAGCAGGGGAUCGCAAGACCUUGCGCUGAUUGAGCGGCCGAUGUCAGAUUAGCUAGUUGGUGAGGUAAAGGCUCACCAAGGCGACGAUCUGUAGCGGGUCUGAGAGGAUGAUCCGCCACACUGGAACUGAGACACGGUCCAGACUCCUACGGGAGGCAGCAGUGGGGAAUUUUGGACAAUGGGGGCAACCCUGAUCCAGCCAUGCCGCGUGAGUGAAGAAGGCCUUGG